UACGUAGGGUGCAAGCGUUAAUCGGAAUUACUGGGCGUAAAGCGUGCGCAGGCGGUUAUGUAAGACAGAUGUGAAAUCCCCGGGCUCAACCUGGGAACUGCAUUUGUGACUGCAUAGCUAGAGUACGGUAGAGGGGGAUGGAAUUCCGCGUGUAGCAGUGAAAUGCGUAGAUAUCGGAAGGAACAUCAGUGGCGAAAGCGGCUUCCUGGACCAGCACCGACGUUCAGGCACGAAAGCGUGGGGAGCAAACAGG
rnacentral:rRNA from 1 species